rnacentral:rRNA from 1 species
UACGUAGGGUGCAAGCGUUAUUCGGAAUUAUUGGGCGUAAAGCGUAUGUAGGCGGCUUUGUAAGUCUGAUGUGAAAUCCCUGGACUCAAUCCAGGAACUGCAUUGGAUACUGCAAGGCUAGAGUAGAGGAGAGGUAGGCGGAAUUCCAGGUGUAGAGGUGAAAUUCGCAGAUAUCAGGAGGAACACCGAUUGCGAAGGCAGCUCGCUGGGACGUUACUGACGCUGAGACGCGAAAGCGUGGGGAGCAAACAGG